CCUANNAAACCCAAANGANNNAAUGGGGAGAUUCAUCGUCAGCUCAUUUUGUAUAUGUANNNAGUUAUGAUGCGGGUUACUACUUGUAGUAUUGCCUGCAGAUUCUUGUAUAUUUAGUUGCAAGAUGUUGUCGGCGUGCACUUCUCCCCUAGUAGGACGUCGCGACCUGUUGGGUGUCGGUCUACGGCCCAAGUGAUAGCCUUUAAUGUAAUUUAAAAAACAUUGAAGAUCCUUGGUGUUUUCUGACCGGCUACUUGGCAGUAUUCGUACGGUAUUUAGCCGCUAAAUUUAUUAAGCGUCCAUAUCCAUCACAAGCGAGGCUAAUUUACUUGAUAGUACGGACCUAGUGCCGUCGUUGGUAUUGGCCAGCUGUUGGUUGAUGGUAUUCUAGGACUGGCUAAAAUUAAUUACCGGUCGGCGAUGCUACUGCUUUGGGUACUUUCAGGACCCGUCUUGAAACACGGACCAAGGAGUCUAACAUGUGCGCAAGUCAUUGGGAUUUUUUUUAAAUUAAACCUAAAGGCGCAAUGAAAGUAAAGGUUGACCUUGCGUCAACCGAGGGAGGAUGAGNUA
rnacentral:rRNA from 1 species